GAAAGCCGGAUGAUGCGAAAGUAUCAAGUCCGGUUUGGCGAGAGGAGUAGAGAAACACGCUCAUUGCGAGAUGAGAAGGUGCGCUCCGCUCCUACUCGAC
rnacentral:ncRNA from 1 species